ensembl:lncRNA
CAGGGACUUCUGCGACCACCAUGUGUGACCUCCGGGAAUGUGUGGAAACUGGUCCCAGAGCCCAGUGAGCCGGCUAGGAAGGCGGCCUCUUCUGAGGACACACAAAUGGCUCCAGAGCCUGUUUCUGUCUCGGCAAAGUGACAUACUUCAUCAAAAUUAGAAGACUAAGCAUUUUUCUCCAGUAUUCGAAGUACUCAAUGUGUGGUCCAGCCACCCCUGGGGGUCUCCAACGUCCUUUCAAGGGGGUCGUGAAGUCAAAGCGAUUUUCAUGAAAACACUAAGACGCUGUUGUCUUCUUCACUCUCACUCUCUCUUGAGUCUACGACGGAAUUUUCCAGAGGUUACACAAAGAGUGGCAUCACGACAGAUUGAAUGCAGUGAUACGAGAAUCCAGCUGUUUUCUGUUAAGAUAGGCAUUAAAGAUACUUGAAAAACAUAAAACAAUGUUCCUCUUCUCCUUAAUCUUUUUUAUCUUGGAUAAUAUAGUUAUUUUGAUAAGAAGAUGUUAUUUAUAUUAACGUCUAAUGGUUUAUUAUUCUUAUUUCUAACUAAUAUUUUUCAAUCUCUUUGUUUUCAUUUCUAAAAUGAUAAAUAUUGAUAGCUAUAAUCUACGUGAACAAAAGAUCUGUGGGAUCCUCGAUAAUUGUUAAGAAUGUAAAAGAGGUCUGAGGCCGAAGUCUUUCAGGACCACAUUUCCCAGAAGGCCCUUCCCCUGGGUUUCUGGUCAGGGCAGGCCACAAGACAGGUUCUCUGGGGACGGAAGCGAAGCCGCAGGCGUUGGAGGCUCCCUCACGUCUCUUCUCUGUUGACUCACCUCACUGCGGGGAGGCUGUUCCAGGCCGGCUAUUGCACACAUUCCCCUGACUCCCUCCAGUUUCCCUGACUUCUGGGCCUGAGGUGCGUGUUUAGCUCGCUGAUGAAAGACAGGCUCUGGCUUCUGCAGGACUGGCACACCCCUAGGUCUGAGGCAACAAGAAUGGGCGUGCGUUUCAGGCUGCUCUCAUGGGCUCCAGCUGUGCCUGCAGGUUCCAGCUCCUGCCAGCUGCCCUCCACAUCAAUCCGCCGUCCCUUCCAGCUGCCUCCCUGUGGACCACGGGCUCCAGCAUCAUCCUAAAGACAAUUGCUUAGCCAGCUCCUACAACUGCACAGGGUCAAGACCCUGUAACACAUAUCUACAUAUAAUCUCCCAUAAUACACCAGGGCAGUGACUAGGAUGUGACGAAAGAUGGGACAAGAAAACCAGGCACGGAGACAGGAAGUCGUGGAUGGCGGUUACACUGAAAGAUAUAAUGAAUCUCCUCUUAGUGGUGAGAUGAUGCCUUUUCACUCUUGGGCUUCCGAGGUCAUCUUUUGUUCUGAAAGGCUGUGACAGCCAGAGGGUCCCUCUCGGAACUGCAUGCAUAAGGAGAGGUGCCAGGCGGAGCCCACGGGAAACAGCUCGGCUUGUCAUACCUGGAAGCACAUUUGCUAGCGGGCAUGAAAGUUGGUGAAAUGUCACUUCUGGUGUCAUUCUGGGCAUUUGUGCAGGACCGGCAGCCUCAGCCGGGAAUGAAUCGUUAGUGUGCGUGUGCCCAUUCUGCUUUCCAGCCAUUCCUUCCUUCACGUUGACUUCUGUUUUUCACGUCUUGGUUGAAUUGAGCGUCCUCCGUGUGAACAGCUCUGGGUUGAUCCUGUGAACACACUCACGUGCUCCUCUACUCGAGGAAUGUGUCAGUCAUCUAUCACUGCAUGAGAAAUUCCCCAAAACUUCGCAGCUGAAAGCAGCAAACAUUUAUUAACUCACAAAGCUUCUGAAAGUCAGAAAUCUUGGAGCGACUCAGCUGGGUCUUUCUGGCUCAGGAUCUCUCACGAGCUUUCAGUCAAGCAGUCAGCCAGGGCUGCAGUCGUCUGAAGCUGGACCGAGGCUGGAAGAUCUAGUUCUAAGGACUAGCCACUUCCAAGCUCAUUCUCAUGGCUCUUGACCAGAGGCCUCAUCAUGUAGCCUUCUCCACAGGGUGGCUGAUGACAUGGCAGCUGGCUUCCCCUGGAGAGAGUGAUCAGAAAAAGAGAGAGAAAGAGACUGAGCAGAACCACACUAUUGUCUCUUACAGCCUAACCUCAGAGGUGAUAUAACAUCACUCCUGCCAUAUUCUGCUGGUCACGCAGAACAAUCCUGGUACAACUGUGGGAGGUUGACCCUGCAAGGGCAUGAAUCCCAGAAGGUGGCAUCACUGGGGACCAUCCCGGAGGCUGGCUGUCAUAAGGAAACCAUCAUCUUAUAG